GUUGAACGCUGGCGGCGUGCCUAAUACAUGCAAGUCGAGCGGAAAGACGAGGCGCUUGCCCGUCUGACGGUAGCGGGGCAGGGGGGAGUGACACGUGGAUAAACUUGCCAUAUGACUGGGAUUACUUCGUGAAAACGGAGCUUAAAACGGCUUAUCGAUUGAAGCGCAUGGUUCAAGAGUUUAAGGCGUCUUUGCUUCCACUGAUCGAUGGUUCCGCGCGGCAGUAGCUAGUUGGUAAGGUAACGGCGUACCAAGGCAACGAUGCGUAGCCGACCUGAGAGGAUGAUCGGCCACACUGGAACUGAGACACGGUCCAGACUCCUACGGGAGGCAGCAGUAGGGAAUAUUGCGCAAUGGGCGAAAGCCUGACGCAGCAACGCCGCGUGUGUGAUGAAGGUCUUCGGGUCGUAAAACUCUUUUAGCAGGGAAGAACGAAGGUGUAAGAAACUAUGCACGCCUUGACGGUACCUAAUCAAAAAGCCACGGCUAACUACGUG
rnacentral:rRNA from 1 species